rnacentral:lncRNA from 1 species
UAAAACUAAUUUAAAUGAUAAAAUAAUCAAAAUUUUCGAAAUAUUUCAAAGUUUGAAUCCAUCGUUGAUCGGCAUAUAUAUAUAUAUACACGAUCAUUCUUAUCCAGGAAGAUUACAGGUAAUUUCAUAUUAAUGUGAAGUGUGAACUAAUAUUUAAAGACUUAGACAAAGGUACGUUGACUUAGGAAGUCAUCCUAAGAAACCAACAAAAUUAAUGACUACAUACAUCAUAGUACCUUAAAAUUCAAAAUUAAUCUAUAAAGCAGAGCAUUUUCUAGGCGAUGUUUGAGACUAAUAAUUUUAAGAAGGGUUAUUCUACUGUUUCUACCGAUGAAGCCUAGCUCAAAUGGUAAAACUGAUACACCAAAAGCACUCUCUUUUAUGAGAGAUUUUGGGUUCAUUCUCACAUGCAUGCGGUGUAGUUUUUUCACUUUGUGUGGAUAGUGUUCUCAUAUUUGUGGGGGUAGUGAUCCCGCUUGCGUAUGGUUAUCUUUCCACUGUACCCGCUUACGUGCGAAUUGCUUAUUUGUUUAUAUUUAGAUAUUUCUUGUAAAAAAAAGGUUAUUCUUAAAUGGAAUUCAUUAUAGUUUAUAGCCCAAAUUUUACAAUAAUUUGCAAAAAUAGUCUGAAUUUUGAAAAUGUAAAAACAAUGUCUUAAUCUUUAUGAAAAUUAUAUAAAAAAAAUUCUAAAUCCUAAGUUCCUAACCUAAACCCAAAAUAUUUAAAUUUGAAUUAGAUUUAAAAUCCAACCCUCAUCAAACUAUUUUGCAUAAUGAAAUCGAACCAUAAAUUUUGAUUUGGUUCGAUUUGGUUCAAUUUGAUUUGAUUAAAACUGAUUUUUUAUUUUCAUGCUUGAAUUUGCUUUGAGCAAAAUUGACAUACACGCGCGCGCACGCACACACAUAUAUUUAGGGAUGCACUCCAAUGAGUUCACCUACGUGUUAGAUCUAAGAUAGAAUAAUAACCAUAGGAUUUGAUAGAUCCAACCGUGUAGCUUUUUUUGUAAAUUUUAUAAUCAGAUUUUUAAUAUCUGAUUUCUUUUGCGUUCACACUAUCAAAAGGAGUAUCUAGUAAAAUGCUCAAAAAACUCGUCUUACCACUGCC